rnacentral:rRNA from 1 species
GAUGAACGCUAGCGGCAGGCUUAAUACAUGCAAGUCGUGGGGCAGCAUGAGUAGCAAUACUUGAUGGCGACCGGCAAACGGGUGAGGAACACGUACACAACCUUCCUUCAAGCGGGGAAUAGCCCAGAGAAAUUUGGAUUAAUACCCCAUAAUAUAUUUGAUAAGGCAUCUUAUUAAUAUUAAAGCUUCGGCACUUGAUGAUGGGUGUGCGGCUGAUUAGAUAGUUGGCGGGGUAACGGCCCGACCAAGUCUACGAUCAGUAGCUGAUGUGAGAGCAUGAUCAGCCACACGGGCACUGAGACACGGGCCCGACUCCUACGGGAGGCAGCAGUAAGGAAUAUUGGGCAAUGGACGAAAGUCUGAUCCAGCCAUGCCGCGUGAAGGAUUAAGGUCCUCUGGAUUGUAAACUUCUUUUAUAUGGGACGAAAAAGGGCAUUCUUGUUCACUUGACGGUACCAUAUGAAUAAGACACCGGCUAACUCCGUGCCAGCA